GUUGGUUAGUUGUGCAUUUUC
rnacentral:miRNA from 1 species